AGCCUUCUCGGUGGGAGAGGAUGAACUGCCAUGUCUAAGAGAAAGACUUGCCCCCGAAUUUGUAGGUCUGUAACUGACCAAGUUUUGUAAUUAUUAACAGGUAUUUGCCAAGUCCUAAUUGCUGAAUAUAAUGAAUUGGAACUAGAUGCGAAAAUAGAGCAGGACCUCUCCCCUUGAUGAGUUUUUAUUCCAGCCAUAUAAUUCUCAAUAAAACUUUUCCUGGGCUGGAUAGCAAAGGACACCUUUGGUUACCUGAAUGAACAGGUACAGGGGAAAUUAUUUGGGGGAGGGAAAAAGGAGAGAAAAGCAAGGAGAGAGAGUGUGAGUGUAAGAGAAAGCGAAGAAGCCACUCUUGAGAAAAGCUUGCCAUAAAGGAGCUAAACCCACCUGAAAUUCCUACCCACGGACACCCCUUCUCACUUCAGACUCACAUCCCCACUCAAAAUGAGAAAAUUAGAAAAGGAGGAUGGAGGACGAGCACACCAAAAAGGGAUAAAAAGAGAGAAAAGGGGAGGAAAAAAAACCUACCUGCGAAGUCUUGUUUGUAGUUUUGGCCAGAAAUGGUGAGAAGAAAAAGCAUGAAGAAGCCGCGAAGUGUGGGGGAGAAAAAGGUGGAAGCGAAGAAACAGCUCCCGGAGCAAACUGUACAAAAACCUCGCCAAGAGUGUCGGGAGGCAGGACCGUUAUUCCUGCAGAGCAGGUUAGAACUGAUCUCUUUCGGCCACUCCAGGAAACACAAACCUGGGGACGGACUGACGUGUUACGCCUCUUCUAAUGACAUUUUUUUCUUUUUCUUUUCUGUAGGAGAGAGACGAGAGACCCUGAAACACGCGCCACCUAUCUUUGUGGGGAGGGAUAAUUGAAGCGCCCUGAGCGUGAGCAUCAUGUGAAAACGUGAUCGCCAAGUUUCUCUCUGGGAAAGGAUCUGGGAUAGAUUAUACCUUGAAGUCUCCGCAAACGCUUUAGUGGAAGAAAUGAAAUUCC
rnacentral:lncRNA from 1 species